UAUUGCACAAUGGGCGCAAGCCUGAUGCAGCCAUGCCGCGCGUAUGAAGAAGGCCUUCGGGUUGUAAAGUACUUUCAGUCGGGAGGAAGAUAUCAAAGUUAAUAUCUUUAAUAUUUGACGAUACCGACAUAAGAAGCACCGGCUAACUCUGUGCCAGCAGCCGCGGUAAUACGGAGGGUGCGAGCGUUAAUCGGAAUUACUGGGCGUAAAGGGCACGCAGGCGGUUAAUUAAGUUGGAUGUGAAAUCCCCGGGCUUAACCUUGGAAUGGCAUUCAAAACUGAUUAACUAGAGUUUUGUAGAGGGAGGUAGAAUUCCAUGUGUAGCGGUGUAAUGUGUAGAGAUAUGGAGGAAUACCAGUGGCGAAGGCGGCCUCCUGGACAAAAACUGACGCUCAUGUGCGAAAGCGUGGGGAGCAAACAGGAUUAGAUACCCUGGUAGUCCAUGCUGUAAACAAUGUCGAUUUGGAGGUUGCGGUCUUGAACUGUGGCUUCCGGAGCUAACGCGUUAAAUCGACCGCCUGGGGAGUACGGCCGCAAGGUUAAAACUCAAAUGAAUUGACGGGGGCCCGCACAAGCGGUGGAGCAUGUGGUUUAAUUCGAUGCAACGCGAAGAACCUUACCUACUCUUGACAUCCAAAGUACUGAACAGAAAUGUUCGGGUGCCUUAGGGAACUUUGAGACAGGUGCUGCAUGGCUGUCGUCAGCUCGUGUUGAGAAAUGUUGGGUUAAG
rnacentral:rRNA from 1 species